rnacentral:lncRNA from 1 species
CAUGGAGGCGGCGGCAUGUACGGAAAUCGAACCAGAGGAUGGCGACAGCAGCUGCAAGGAUGUGUGUUUCAUGGACAAAGGCCUGCACAGUAUAUCAGAGUUAUCUUUAGAUUCAUCCCUUCAUGCCAUCAAUUUGCAUUGUAAUAACAUCUCCAAGAUCACAUCCAUUGACCACAUUUGGAACCUGCGACAUUUGGAUCUGUCAUCCAAUCAAAUAAGUCAAAUUGAAGGCCUGAACACACUGACAAAGCUAUGCACUUUAAACUUGUCCUGCAAUUUGAUCACAAGAGUGGAAGGACUCGAAGCACUGGUAAAUCUGAUUAGACUGAAUUUGUCUUAUAAUCACAUAAGUGAUCUCAGCGGGUUGAUCCCCCUUCAUGGACUAAAGUAUAAACUUAGAUAUAUUGACCUACAUAGUAAUUAUA